CAGAUCUUGGCCAAAAAAUAACAGCUUCAAGAGUCAAGAACUUGUCAAGAAGCAGCUUUACUGACCAUGCCUUCAAAAGUAAGAAAGAGUUCAGUCAUAGUGAGCUGCCCAAUUCCACUGCUCAAAUGUAUCCACACUAAUUCUGCAUGUGUUCUGUGACUUUGGUUAUCUCUGCUCUGAGCUGCAAAUUGCUGUUUUUCAGGAAAACUGCUGUUUCGGAUGCAGUCUUACUGAACCUUUGCCCAGUGCUGAAACCAAACUGAAUCUGAGCCUUUUCCAGGAAGACUGGGAGGAGAUGUGAAAACUGUUUAGAACUAAGAUUAAAAAAAUAAAUGUGAUGUCUCAGCCCUGCUGCUUUCACUUGGGAUCCGAACUCAGGUCAGAUGGGCCAUCCUUACCACAAUUCCUGAGAGGACACAGCCAGGAAAAGUUCAUUCUUCUUAGGCUGUCAGAGGUGACACAGGCAUUUUACAAGUGACCCUGAUGCCAGAUUUGUAGAUCUCAUUUCCUUUAGACACAGAUUUGGAAGAAACACCGAGUAUGGUAAGAAGAAAGGAGAACUCUGGCCAGUAACUUCUUGCCCUGUAGGAGAAGCCGGAACCCUGGCUGCCAGAGGAGGGAUGGCGUUUCUUGCAAGAAGGAUUGUUUGAUCCGCUAAAAUCCCAAUAACAGAAACAUCUUUUUUACUUGCAUGAGAGUUAGAAGGUAUGUGAAGACUCACAAGUAACUCAUGCAUCAGGAAACAGAUUCAACUAGCAGAUGAAUGAAAGAGGUGGUAAAAACUUUCACUGUUCCAAGGCACAGCAUGGUCUCUAAGUACAAAUUCAUUUUGCACAUACCAUCUUGUGAAGUUGCAACAUUAGUACAUUUUUUCCUGCUUACUGGUUUAGUUGAUAUUUCAGCUUUGAUUUGUAAGGGUUAAAUUAAACUAAACUGUGUUCUUUUUAUAUAAGAUAUCAAAAGCAAGAUCUUUGCUAAGAACAGAAAAUAUUCACAAUUCUUUAUGACUAAUACAUGAAUUGUGAUCAAGAAAGAGCCCUUCUAACCUAUCUUGUAAACUUUUUUUAAUUUUCAUUUACACUGCCUGUAUGAUUGUAGGAUUGAAGGGAGACACUAUGGCAGGAUUUGACCUAUGAAAUAAAGUUUAUUUACAGUGAAAUAUAAUAUUUUCUAAAUUCCAUGGUGCAUCUACAUUGUUGAAUUUUUCUGUACCUUCUCAGCCUCUAAUGCUGCUUAUCCCAAUAUAUAGUCAUGGUUGCUGUGACAAAAGGAAGAUGCCUCCAGCUGCCACAGAGACACAUGGACUCUCUCAAGGGACAAAAAAAUAGUGAAAGAAGGAGGAAAAGGAAUGGGAGGUGAAUUUUCUGUUGGUGUCAUUCCAUUACCAUUAAUGCAACAGGGUAAGCCCACAGGUGUUUGUUGGAUGUUUCAUAGAGGGAAGGAUGAAAGCUCUCUUUCUGCUCUGCUUUUAGAAACAUUUUUCAAAUCUCCCUAAUCUCUUAAUCUAUUUAGUGCUUUUUCUUAAUUUCUGAGGAAAUAGACACAGAGCCCCUCUGAACAAGGUUCUUCAAUUAGAGGUUGAAGAAACUUUUCUGCCCAUGGAUUGAUGAGUCAGUUACAGAUAGCAGGAGCGAUUUAUAAAACAUUCUGGCUAAUAUCUAAACCUAACUAAUGAACCUAAAGAUACCAUUAAAAUGUUUAAGUGUUGCAGUUGUCUCUCCACUCCCUACUUGUUAUCUUUUUAAUGCCUUCCUAUAUUUCAAUUAAAUUAGUGAAUUACAAGAAAGUGUCAUUCAUCUGUUAAUUGUCAAUGCAGGAUGACACCUUUUUACUAGUUUAUAUGCCUCAGUGUGAGUCACACUUGAAUCUGUUUAGUGUCUCAGUAAAGAUCGUGCUUAUCCGCAAUUUUAGUUGUUAACACAGACCACUAAAUAUGUUUUUAGUGUUUUCAGCAGUUUUCACAGUCUGUUUAAGAAGAGUUUCCUGCUUCAGAAAGGAGAUUUAUGCCUCUAAAGAAACAGAACACAACCCAUCCUGAUCCCAUCCUGAUCCCUUCCUAUCUUCUCCCCUGCCCAUUUCUGCAAAGAGGAAUCUGCAGGCAUCCAGAAGAAUGUCUCUACAUUUCUGUAUGGAUUCCCUUUCUGCCUGCUUCUGUAGAUUAUAGAAAGCAAAUAAUUGGAAUUCAGGAUAAGUUGACUUCAACCAUAUUACCUCCUACCUCUAACUGAUUUCAGUAUCUUGGACUAAGUCCUUAGCGCAAGUGAGCUAAUUACUAAUGCAUGCAAGAAGAAAAACUUAACACUCCUAGCUUUUAUUUUUUGCUUUGCAAUUAAGGUAGCUUUGUACUUCCCCCUCAAGUCAAAGUUCCUUUUUUUGACUGCAAAUUAUCAAAAGGAGGAACAAUAUUACUAGAUCUAUAUUUAACUACAAAAGGGGUAUGAUAUCAGCAAAUCACUGGAAACAUUCAGAUUUGGAAGACUUUGCACAAAAGUGGAUUAAACCAAGUGAAAAUCAGCUCUAGUGCCAAAGACUUCUCUCUUGACCUAUGACUAUGAAGGUAACAACACUGCCAAAAUGUUCAGGUAACUAGGUAUCAGGGUAUACUGUGGAUUUGAGAGUAAACCUCAGCUGGAGCUGGUUUAUAUAAAAUACUCUAAAGAAGCUUAAUAUAGAAAAAAAAAUAAAUUAUACUUUUCAGUGGCUUUUCAUUGUAGGGAAAUUGAUUUUGCAUCUAAAUGAAGGUUGCUCAAGUUUACACAAGUUCUUGGUGACUUUUCAUGUUAAUCAGUUGCCAUGCCAAUGCAAAUUCUUGGUAAAUUCAGCUCUUAGAAGCAGUUCUGUCUGCCCCAUGCUGUUGAGUAAGUUAAUUUUCCACACUUCCAAAAGAGUGUUCUUAACUUUAUAUCUGAUUUUAAUACAUACUCUUAGUGUAUAUAUGACCUCUUUAAAAAGUCACUGUAAUUGUGUAAACUUCUUUUGUCUUCAAUUUUUGUUUGUAGGUAUCUGUAGACAUUUUACUUCCUUCAGCUGAAUCAAUUACUGAUCCCUGGUUUGGAACUUAUGCUAUCCAAUAAGGGCUUGUAAUUUUAUCAGUAAUGGGCAAAAAGGAAUGAAAAAAGGGUUAUGUUUCUCAUUUUUUAUAUAUUAGGGCCUAGAAGCACAAGUUGCAUGAAUAUUGCUCAUGUCUGUAGAUCUAUACAUAUGGUACUAUUCAAAUUCUAUUAAUGAUGAAGACUCUUUCAAAUUUUAUUGAUUUUCUAAAUGAGUUCUCCUCUGUCUUUACAUGGUGAUGAAAUCUCUAUAAGAACCAGACCAAGCUUCCUCUCUUUCCCAGAUCUAAUUCACUUCAGAAGAGAUAACCAGUAUGGCUUUCUUCUAGAAGGAUAAGCUCUUCCCUCAAGAGUCAUUUGAUGGAUGAGAUCCUUCACCAGAAGUAAUACCUGAUCACUCAACUGAACCCUGACCACUUGUAUCUGCCCCAGGUCAGAGAUUUCAUUUCAGAUGUCCCAACACAGUUGUCUUAGUUCAUGCUGUCAAAAUGGAAAUCAACUUGGUAUUACCUUUUGGUUUUGUUUAAAUAGAGGGGAGAGGAUUUUUAGUUAUCUUUUUGAUAGUAAAGUUUAAGCCAGGGAAAAUACAUUGGAUACUUUGUUGUUACUUCUGAGAGAAAUGUGUAUUGGCUUGAUGUCAAAAUGAGAUUCUCAUUUUUAUUGGGUUCUUCUUUUAGUUUGGUUUCCUGACUAUGUUUUACUAGUAAUACAAAAUCAAGUGUUGUUUUUAUUUUCAGCUGAACCAGUGUUUUACCUCAAGUACAAAUCACUGACACUAGGAAACUUUUUGGAAGACUUUGUUAGAUCUUUCUGAUGAGUAUCAGAAGCCUCGAGACUGGAAAACAAUAUUAAGAAAAAGAGAAAUUGCUAUUAGGAUUUAAAAUAUUUGCAAUCUCAUGAAAACUAAGCAAAGAAGAUAAUUUUGUUCACUUUCUAGCAGGCUUUUUAUACACUAGAACAAAAAUAAAUACAGGCUAACACUUAAACUCACAGCUGAGCUGCUGCAGGAUUUCAGUACAAUCUUGAAACACUUCAGUGUAGCAGAAGCAAAAAUAUUCUGAGCCUUUGAAAGCUGGGGCCGUUCCCUCAGAUGAGGUGACAGUAAUAAACCCACGUCUGGCUUGCAACCCUGCCUCAAAUAAUGAGCAAAAUCAAGCAAUAGGUCCCCUAAAUGUUUUCCAGAACUAACCCAGGGAGAUAUGUUGUAAAUCUGUAGCAAAUGUAAAAAAAAAAAUUUACUGUUUUAUUACUAAUGACAGUUUAUAAAAUGGCAUGGUAUUGUUAUAAUAGUACAGCAUAAUAGUUUAUGGUUGAAAGAUUGAAAGCAAUACCUUUUCCCUUCAUUUUGACAGUAUCACCUAAUUCCAUUAGAAGCAGAUCUAUGGGGUUAUUUUUAUUUGCUGAUAACUGCAAAAUCAGCUUUUUUUUGUUGACAGGCCUUUUUGAACUCCAUAAUUAGAAUAAAAUGCUGAUGAAUUAAUUUUAAAUAUGUGCACAGUUAAAUUCACAUUCAGUUAUUUUUCUGGGAGAAAUUUCAUUUACAUAUUCAGAUAGUUACUACCAAAAAUUUAGAUUUUUAAGAAUGUCUAAAGUAUGUAAAUAUAUAAUGUCCUCAUAAUUUCACAGGUUAUCUCAAAGACAGUCAAACUGAAAAAAUGGGGGCUACAUCACCUUCAAAAACUGUAGUGUUCCAUCAGAACUAGCUUGAUGAAAGUUUUGCUUUUUGUCAUAUGUUCAAGAAAGCUGUACUGCUCACAGGAAACAAUUCCAUGCAGAAAACUGAAAAUCUUAUGAAGUUUUCCUUCAGUUUGAGUUAGGUCUGUAAACACUGAAGAUUGACAAAUAGUUGAAUGCCAUGGCUUCUUAAGCAUCCAUAAUUUUCUGUGUAACAAGGAGCAAUGAAAGCAAUAGCCGAUGAUUUUGUUUAAGAAAACUCAGCUUGACUGCCAUAUCGUUCUUGGCUCAGUAGCAUUUUCCACAACUGUUGUGGUUUAGAAAUAGUUUUCCCCAAUUUAGUACUCCCACUAAAAAGACCAUGAACCGCUCCUCUCCUUUCCUGAAUGAUAAAGAUCACAGGUUAAGAUAAGAAUAAUUCUGUGGAAAAAAGAAUGAUUUAAUGUCUUAGGCUACAGUGUAAGGUGUAUGCAAAGUAUGUAUUCUUACAUACUUUACAUACACCUAAAGUAUGUAUUCUAUCACCCUCUUCAUAAGCUGUUAAAACUAGGUGUGGCAGUGUUCUUUAUCUCUUCCCCAGCCAUCCUCCCUCCAGAGGGAUAUCUUCUGUUAAUGG